AGAGUUUGAUCCUGGCUCAGAUUGAACGCUGGCGGCAUGCCUUACACAUGCAAGUCGAACGGCAGCACGGAGCUUGCUCUGGUGGCGAGUGGCGAACGGGUGAGUAAUAUAUCGGAACGUACCCUAGAGUGGGGGAUAACGUAGCGAAAGUUACGCUAAUACCGCAUACGAUCUAAGGAUGAAAGUGGGGGAUCGCAAGACCUCAUGCUCGUGGAGCGGCCGAUAUCUGAUUAGCUAGUUGGUAGGGUAAAAGCCUACCAAGGCAUCGAUCAGUAGCUGGUCUGAGAGGACGACCAGCCACACUGGAACUGAGACACGGUCCAGACUCCUACGGGAGGCAGCAGUGGGGAAUUUUGGACAAUGGGCGAAAGCCUGAUCCAGCAAUGCCGCGUGAGUGAAGAAGGCCUUCGGGUUGUAAAGCUCUUUUGUCAGGGAAGAAACGGUGAAAGCUAACAUCUUUUGCUAAUGACGGUACCUGAAGAAUAAGCACCGGCUAACUACGUGCCAGCAGCCGCGGUAAUACGUAGGGUGCAAGCGUUAAUCGGAAUUACUGGGCGUAAAGCGUGCGCAGGCGGUUUUGUAAGUCUGAUGUGAAAUCCCCGGGCUCAACCU
rnacentral:rRNA from 1 species